rnacentral:rRNA from 1 species
UCGAACGCGAUUGAGUUUCGGCCUCAGUUGAGUGGCAACGGGUGAGUAACACGUGGGUGACCUACCUUCGAAUGGGGGAUAACGUCCCGAAAGGGACGCUAAUACCGCAUAAUAUCCUGCUCUUGAAUGGCGGGAUCAAAGCUGGGAUCGUAAGACCUGGCGUUUGAAGAGGGACCUGCGCCCGAUUAGCUAGUUGGUGGGGUAACGGCUCACCAAGGCAACGACUGGUAGCCGGCCUGAGAGGGCGGACGGCCACACUGGGACUGAGACACGGCCCAGACUCC